CGUGCCCGGAGGGUAGUGGGUCACCAGGUCCUCGCACCUAGUCCGCCCGCCCGGAGGGCUGCACCGGGUGCCGCCUGGGCCCGCGCAGACAAGCGGAUUCGAACUUCACGCUACCGGCCCCGACCACGUGAGAAACGACCUGGAUGCCCGAUUCUUUUCCAUUAUAAGUUAUUACAAGAUAUUGAAUAUAGUUCCCUGUGCUAUACGGGUGUACAGUCAAAAUACUGUGUUUAAAGUAACUUGAGUGACUU